rnacentral:tRNA from 1 species
GUCGUAGCUCAGUGGCAGAGCAUCUGCUUUGCAUGCAGAAGGUCCCAGGUUCAACCCCUGGCAUCUCCU